rnacentral:rRNA from 1 species
CCUACGGGAGGCAGCAGUGAGGAAUAUUGGUCAAUGGGCGGAAGCCUGAACCAGCCAAGUAGCGUGCAGGAUGACGGCCCUACGGGUUGUAAACUGCUUUUAUACGGGAAUAACGCGCCUUACGUGUAGGGCUUUGCAGGUACCGCAUGAAUAAGGACCGGCUAAUUCCGUGCCAGCAGCCGCGGUAAUCCGGAAGGUCCGGGCGUUAUCCGGAUUUAUUGGGUUUAAAGGGAGCGUAGGCCGCAUGUUAAGCGUGCUGUGAAAGGUCCGGGCUCAACCCUGGCCUUGCAGCGCGAACUGGCGGGCUUGAGGCCGCGGAAGGCAGGCGGAAUGAGUCGUGUAGCGGUGAAAUGCUUAGAUAUGACGAAGAACCCCGAUUGCGAAGGCAGCUUGCUGCAGCGGAACUGACGCUGAUGCUCGAAAGCGCGGGUAUCGAACAGGAUUAGAUACCCCUGUAGUC